rnacentral:lncRNA from 1 species
AAAUGACAAGGCUACAGGGAUAACUCUCAUAUCGCCUAAUAAUCUUGGCCAGUGUGUGCGUGUAAACUUAAAAAAAUUUGACAGUUAUAGCAUUUUGGAUGGUGGUUAGGCCCAAAAGAUUCAGAGGAUUAAGUAUAUUAGAGGUCGAGUAAUUUUAGGACAGGUGACCCUCUAGAAACAAGGCACCAUAAUUGGUAUUAUUAGCCGAAAGUGUGAAAUAAGUCUCGGCUGAGUUAGGCUUUAAAUAAUAGGCUAAAAUUAGGGUCUGACAAAGAUAUGUUAAGUUGCAAAGUGUGAAAUGAGUAUCGACCAAGUUAGAGUCUGAAUAAUAGGCUAAAAGCAUAGUUCGACGAUGACAUGUUACAUUAGAAUCUGAACGACAAAGCUAGUAAGACGAGUCUUAUAUCAUCUAGUGCUUGUGAGUGUGCUCGAGCUUGCCGAGAAUGUCAGGGCUCCGAGGGAGAGGAAUGUGACAUUCUCGAGAUUCGGAAUAGUCCUAUUUAUAAGGUAUAAUAGGACUAAACAUCUAAAGUAGGCUAUAGCAUUUGGAUGGUGGCUAAGUUCAAGAGAUUAAAAGGGUUAAACGUGUUAAAUA